GCUAGCGGCGGCAGGGCGUCGCCGCAGCUCGUUCGCAUCGAGAAGGUCAGGGGUUCGAUUCCCCUCAGCUCCA
rnacentral:tRNA from 1 species